UACGGAGGGGGCUAGCGUUGUCCGGAAUUACUGGGCGUAAAGAGCUCGUAGGUGGUUUGUCGCGUUGUUCGUGAAAACUCACAACUCAAUUGUGGGCGUGCGGGCGAUACGGGCAGACUGGAGUACUGCAGGGGAGACUGGAAUUCCUGGUGUAGCGGUGGAAUGCGCAGAUAUCAGGAGGAACACCGGUGGCGAAGGCGGGUCUCUGGGCAGUAACUGACGCUGAGGAGCGAAAGCGUGGGGAGCGAACAGG
rnacentral:rRNA from 1 species